GGACCCCUCUUUUAGAAAAAUUGUUUAAAAUAUGAUGUAUUUCUCCUCUUUUUGAGUAAAAAAAAUCAAAAUUUUCAAAGGUUUUGUGUAGUAGCACUACAAAUUCUUGGUAUUUCUUUUUUCUUUUCUACAAUAGUAAAAUUACCCCUUGUCAAGUCUGAGGGAGGGCUGUUCACAACCUGAUAAUAACAAACACAGGUCAAAGUACGGCCUUUUACAAAGGGCUUUGAUACAGAUCAAACAGCAAGCUUUAAGGGACCCCACAAUUAUUGGUGUACACAAUUCGAACAGGAAAACCAACUAUCUAAUUUGUAUAUCCAAACGCGAAAAUACCAAUGAACCACAUCUACAAACAAUAACUGCUGAACGACAGGCCCCUGAAUCAAUCAGGACAGGUACAUAAACAUGCAGCGGCUAUGUAUAGUUUUGUUUCGCCAGCAUACAAUAUAAUUGCAGUUGAAGGCAAAUCCUUCAGAGUUCUUUGUACUUUAUUCUGACAACGAACAUUUUUUGAUAGGAAAUAUAAGUAAGGGGAAAGAAACCAAUGUUUUGUUCUGUACAGGUAUUUCCACUGUUAUAUAUUUAUAUUGGAGCACCCCCACGUUUCAUGCUGAAACAAAUAUUCUCACAGAUAUUUACAGUGUUAUGGGGUGCUUAUAGGUUUAAAAUCAUUAUAAACAGGUUAGAAUGUGAUUUUAAAAAACAAAUGUUGAUAUCUUUUUAUAAUAUUUACAAACAAACAAAAAACGGUGCGGGAAAUGGACAUGAUUACAUUUCCGGAUGCAGGAAGCGGGAAUAUAAAAAAAAAAAAAAAAUAUGUUUUGAAAAAAAUAGGUGUGGGUGGGUCCGUCGAACAAGGAAUCAAAUUGGUGUGGCCUAAAACAAGUUUAACCGUACAAAUCUAGCAUAAAACAAUGAGAAAAUAUUAUAUAGAAAAUAAGCCCACAAAAAAUAACAAAUAGAAAUGCCAUGCGUUGUAAAAAAUAAAUCAUCAAAAUAAUUAAAUAUUCAAAUUAACUAAAAAUCAGUUACUUAAAUAAUAAAAUUACAAAUAUACAUGUUUACAAACAAGUAAUUGACAAACCUCUUUCAAAAACUCACAUUAAAAUCAAUGAAAAUGCCUCUAAAACUAUAACUUCAUGCAAGUUAUUACCCUUUCUCCAAAGAAUUCCUCUCUGCAUUGAAAGAUAAAUCAAUAAGUUAACUCAAAUACAAUAUAUUUUAAAAUCUUUGACCAUCCAUGAAGGUCUUGCAUAGUCAGUUAAAAACCUUGCAAAAUAAAAAAUAAAAAAAUAAAUUCCCAACAUCUC
rnacentral:lncRNA from 1 species